ACGCUCGACACCUACGGUAGGCAGCAGUGGGGAAUAUUGCACAAUGGGGGGAACCCUGAUGCAGCGACGCCGCGUGAGUGAAGAAGUACUUCGGUAUGUAAAGCUCUAUCAGCAGGGAAGAAAAUGACGGUACCUGACUAAGAAGCCCCGGCUAACUACGUGCCAGCAGCCGCGGUAAUCUGAGGCGGCUGGCAAGGC
rnacentral:rRNA from 1 species